CAGCGGAUGAGAGAUCCGCCAGAGUAGUUGUCGAUUCGACUCUGUAGCCACCCGAGCGCUUACGCGGAGUGAUCCAUGUGAGCGAAGCCUCGGGGACAAUGCCUGCCUUUUGGGCGGGCCAGCAAACCCACGGGCCGUAACGCGA
rfam:Environmental sequence 2662324_fasta.screen.Contig32829, whole genome shotgun sequence.